AACGAACGCUGGCGGCAGGCCUUACACAUGCAAGUCGAACGUGAAAGUUCCUUCGGGAGCGAGUAAAGUGGCGCACGGGUGAGUAACGCGUGGGAACGUACCCUUCAGUAUGGAAUAACAGCGGGAAACUGCUGCUAAUACCGUAUAUUCUCUUCGGAGGAAAGAUUUAUCGCUGAAGGAUCGGCCCGCGUCAGAUUAGC
rnacentral:rRNA from 1 species